AAUAAAGUCAGCUAAAACUUUAAGCUAUUGGGUUCAUACCCCGAAAAUAAAUAUAUGAUUUCUUUAUUA
rnacentral:tRNA from 1 species